GACGACACAAGGAGGUAAGAGAAAAGGACACAUCUCAUCGUCAUGACGUCUUCUUGAUGAUGAUUUGGUAUGGUUGUGCAUCUGAAACAGUGCGAUGGAAGAAGUGCGCGCGAGGAUCAAUUCGAUUUUGGAAGAGCAAGCAACUCUUGAACGAGUGAGUUGUUUCUUCUUGUUCUAUAGGAUGUCUUUCGAUGUUCUUGAUGAGGCUAAUGGUUCCUCCUCAGGAACUAGAAGCGUGCAUAAGUCGACUUGAGAUUCUGAGAGAAAGGAACUCCAUGCUCAAAGAAGAGGUUGGUGGAUUCUUCCUUCUUCUUUCUUCCCUUCUUGGUUACCUUUUUCUCUUCCUUUUCCGAAAAGGACUCACCUUCGCCGAAAUCUCCCUUCAGCUGGCAAAGGCGGCUGCUGAUCGCCGUGCACCUGGAACUCCAUCUCCGCCAGCCACCGACAGCCGCGUCGGCUCGACAACCGCGUCCGGCCAGCAAAUGCAAAGCGCGGGACUGCAAGGUGGCGCCAAGAAUGGGGAGGAAGCGCAGGAGGGAGAUAGAUGAGAUGCAGGGGAGAAGAAGAUGCAUGAAAGCAAGAACACUUCAAGUAAUGCAGCCAAAGGAAGUAGCAGAACUGAUUCAUACCAAUAGGUUGUAAUCUUCCAGCAAUUGUCUCAACAUAGCAAAGGUGUCAACGCCUUGGAUUUCUAAACUGUCAGAGACGAAACGUACUGCAUUACCAAGUGUUCUUGUUUUUGCUGGUAUGAGGCUUCUUGGAAGACAAACUUUGAACCAAACUAGUCAAACGAUUGUUCUUGUUUUUGCUGGUGUGAGGCUUCUUGAAAGACAAACUUUGAACUAAAGUAGUCAAACAACUGUUAUUGUUUUUGUUGGU
rnacentral:lncRNA from 1 species